ACUUCUGUGGCGCAGUGGUAGCGCGCCGCUCUUAUAUUUCACACCCGUUUGGGAUGAUUUAUGAUUUCUGAGCAAUGCGGAUGUCGUGGGUUCGACCCCCACCAGAAGUA